UCUAGGCCCGGGAAAAAAUCAUCUACUCCUGGGGCGUGGAAAAUUUCCUCGGCGGCGCAACGAAGACGCGACGGAGGGGGCGGCGCGCGGCGCGACCUGGAGGCGAUGGCGACAGCGACGGGAAGGCUCUCUCCUCCGGCCGCCACCUUCUCUCCGAGAUGGGAACACUGCAGCUGGUGACUGAAGCUCAUGGUGGCAUUAGCGCUAAGCUUAAACACUUGCAUUCAAUUUGUAGUUUAGCUCCUAGCUGGCUACUUCUAUUUAUUCUAAAAAAACAACUGAACUGUAACCAUUUUGAUUACUUUGUGACACUUUCAUGUAUGCAUUUGUGAACGUACAGCAUGCAUGUGUGUUUUCCCUGUACUUAAACAAUGUUUUUUUUACCGGAUUUGAUCUGAGAGAAUGCAUAUUGUUUCAUUGCUUGCU